CCCAGACUCACCAGCUGGAUGGAGCAGCUCACACCCGCUCUUAAGCCGCUUAGACGCGGCUCUCAGCACCCAGGAGCUGCACAGCUGGCCCUGCGGUUAUGUCCACAGGAGCCGGGCCAGGAGGUCAGAGCUAGAAUUCUCCACUGUCUGUACAGCAGUCUGUUCGUACCACAGAGCCCCCUUGUUAAAGAGUUUCUUUGGACAUUGAUCAGCCCACACCUUUUCCAAACUUUCCACCCUACGUCCAUCCUGAGGCCAUGGGCGCCCAAUCAAAUUCCUCUUCCCAGAACAGCUACUGAGCUAAACAUCUCAUUGGUUUCUGCCUCCACCAAUGACAUGGACGAGGGGGCAGCCCCGGGAAGACGCAGGAGAGGCGAUGGGAGCGGGAGACAGGAGGCCCGGAGCCCCAGCAGCCAGCAGAGGCAGCAGGCACCCUCCUCCAGAGCCGCCGAGGGGAGCGAGGCCCUGGGCCGCCUGGAUCUCGGGCUCCCAGCUCCAGAGCCCGAGAGGAUGGCUUCCUGCUGCUCUCAGCCCUUCUCAACCACCCUCCCCCUGCCGUGGGGUGUUUGCUGUGGCCGCAGGACACCAGCACCAGCUUCUCACCUCCCCCCACCACGAGUUGCAGGUCUGGCGGGCAGCGCGUUCGCUCGCCUGACCCCACGCCCAGGCUGCACGCGGAUCUUUGAAAAGGUCGCAUGUCCGUAACUGGGAAGCAAUCCUGAGGGCAGAAAGCAGCAUUCUGAUAUUUUCCUGGAGCGCAGACACGGACAGUACCGGGGAAGGCCGGCAAAGCCACUUCACGCGGGGCUGCUGGGAGUCAACUCAGAGGGACCUCAGAGACCUGACCAGUGGGCACGCUGCCCGCCGCCCAGCUCGUGGAUGGAGGAGCCUGGAAGCCUCGGCCAUGCUGGCUCGGUGCGGCCUGAGCCGCUGUCGCGAUCGGAGCUCCCGCGACGGGGACCUCGAGGCCGCUGCAGACGGUCCGGGAGGUCCCAGCAGGCCCGGUCUCCGAAUUCCCCAGAGACACAGACACAGGGCUGGGGUCACCGCGUCCAGGGAGCG
rnacentral:lncRNA from 1 species